CAGCCCGGGCUCACAAUGGCCGCCCCGCGCCACUACAGCGAGGCGGUGGCCGACCGUGAGGAUGACCCCAACUUCCUCAAGAUGGUGGAGGGCUUCUUUGAUCGCGGCGCCAGCAUCGUGGAGGACAAGCUGGUGGAGGACCUGAGGACCCGAGAGAGCGAGGAGCAGAAGUGGAACCGGGUGCGCGGCAUCGUGCAGAUCAUCAAGCUCUGCAACCAUGUGCUGAGUCUCUCCUUCCCCAUCGGGCGCGAAGACGGCUCCUGGGAGGUCAUCUAAGGCUACUGGGCCCAGCACAGCCAGCACCGCACGCCCUGCAAGGGAAGUAUCCGUUACAGCACUGAUGUGAGUGUAGAUGAAGUAAAAGCUUUGGCUUCUCUGAUGACAUACAAGUGUGCAGUGGUUGAUGUGCCGUUUGGGGGUGCUAAAGCUGGUGUUAAGAUCAAUCCCAAGAACUAUACUGAUAAUGAAUUGGAAAAGAUCACAAGGAGGUUCACCAUGGAGCUAGCAAAGAAGGGCUUUAUUGGUCCUGGCAUUGAUGUGCCUGCUCCAGACAUGAGCACAGGUGAGCGGGAGAUGUCCUGGAUCGUUGAUACCUAUACCAGCACCAUAGGGCAAUAUGAUAUUAAUGCACAUGCCUGUGUUACCAGUAAACCCAUCAGCCAAGGGGACAUCCAUGGAUGUAUCUCUGCUACUGGCCAUGGUGUCUUCCAUGGGAUGGAAAACUUCAUCAAUGAAGCUUCUUACAUGAGCAUUUUAGGAAUGACACCAGGGUUUGGAGAUAAAACAUUUGUUGUUCAGGGAUUUGGUAAUGUGGGCCUACACUCUAUGAGAUAUUUACAUCGUUUUGGUGCUAAAUGUAUUGCUGUUGGUAAGUCUGAUGGGAGUAUAUGGAAUCCAGAUUGUAUUGACCCAAAGGAACUGGAAGACUUCAAACUGCAACAUGGGUCCAUUCUGGGCUUCCCCAAGGCAAAGCCCUAUGAAGGAAGCAACUUGGAGGCCAACUGUGACAUACUGAUCCCAGCUGCUAGUGAGAAGCAGUUGACCAAAUACAAUGCAGCCAGAGUCAAAGCCAAGAUCAUUGCUGAAGGUGCCAACGGGCCAACAACUCCAGAAGCUGACAAGAUCUUCCUGGAGAGAAACAUUAUGGUUAUUCCAGAUCUCUACUUGAAUGCUGGAGGAGUGACAGUAUCUUACUUUGAGUGGCUGAAGAAUCUAAAUCAUGUCAGCUACGGCCGUUUGACCUUCAAAUAUGAAAGGGAUUCUAAUUACCACUUGCUCAUGUCUGUUCAAGAGAGUUUAGAAAGAAAAUUUGGAAAGCAUGGUGGAACUAUUCCCAUUGUACCCACGGCAGAGUUCCAAGGCAGGAUAUCUGGCGCAUCUGAGAAAGACAUCGUGCACUCUGGCUCGGCGUACACAAUGGAGCGUUCUGCCAGGCAAAUUGUGCACACAGCCAUGAAGUAUAACCUGGGAUUGGACCUGAGAACAGCUGCCUAAGUCAAUGCCAUUGAGAAAGUCUUCAAAGUGUACAGUGAAGCUGGUGUGACCUUCACAUAGAUGGAUCAUGGCUGACUUCCUCACUAUCCUCUUCACGUGUAACUUCCACAGACCUAUCACAA